UUUUAGUUUCAGUUUUCCUGGAAACAAACUAAAAAACUUGAUGACGUGUGAACAAGUUUUAUUUCAGAUAGUCAAGAUGUAUGCUAGUUAUCUUAUAUUAUCGCGACUGUUAUUUCCUGUCACUGUUAACAUAUCAAACUGACCACACUUUCAAUCUUUUGGACCAAUUCAAAUUUCAAUGUAAUGAUAUUUUUAUUACAAAUGUAACUGAUUGCCAAAUCCUGAAAUGAUAUUUAUUAGACAUACAAUGUAUAUGUUAUUUACAUUUCCUGUUUUACAGAACCUCUAACAGGUCAUAAUUAUAAAUUCAAAUGUUUUACAGUAUUUUUGUGCUCCUUGAAAAAUCUGUGUCUUCUGCCUAUAGAUAUUUUGUAUGUGCUAACAACAUAUAUUGUAUGUUUAACGCAAUAAAAUUAUUUGAGUUGAGAGUUGAAAUUUACAUUUCCUGUUACUUUCUACUUCUCUUGGCAGAAUAUUAAAACCUCAUAUGUGCGAUUAUGUCUGUGUUUAUUCCGGGGUGUGUAUUUAAAAUAAAACAAAAAUAUGUUACAAAUAUUAAGAGGGUAUUUUUUUUCGUUUGAGUGAAAUAUGGAAUAUAUUUGCACGAAACAUGAUAAAAUGCCACAUAUUUUCACGAGCCGGGACGGCCCAGUUUCAUAUUUAUAUUUUAUUUUUAUUUUUAAAAAAUAUGAAAUAUAUUUGAUUGAUAUAGCACCAUAUUUCAUGGAUAAAAUUAAAACAAAAUAUUAUAUUGAUUAAGGGAUCAAACAACGUGCAACAAAGGCAUACAAUGUGAAUUUAAUAUUCGAUUGAUUUCUACACAAUUAUUCUGUAAAUGUAUGAAGUUAAAAUUGUAUUGUUUGUAUGCAUCCAAUCACAACAUUUUCAUAUUUGAUGACUCAGUCACAUUUUUAGUAUGGCAAUUAGUACAAUUAAUGUCUUGAUUUUCUGUAAAAACGAUAAUCAUGGAAUGUUCUUAGAUAGAGUGGAGUGUAAUUAACGUAUUCUUAUACUAGUGUAUAUAUGUUGUAGACCGUUGGUUAUUUAGCUGUCACAACAUUUCGCUCCGUUUUGUAGAUGCCCAUUCCGUCCGAUUUCAGCCUGUUUCCUUUUAAACAAAUAACAGUUAAAUGUUACGUUUAUUGUAGCCCGUCUUUCUCAUUUCGUAUUGUUAGUUUACUGUAAGAAGAUCAUCCUUUGUGUUUUACAGAAUAUUUUAUCUUUUUAAAGUGGUAUAAAAAUACCAAAGAACUGAAAACAUAACAAUUGCAUGUUUUGGAAUGGAUAGAUCCCUCAAAAGCACACAAUUGUAAAAAAGUGAAACUCGCAGACUAUGUGAAUUAAGUCUAUUCUAAUAGCUAUUUAGAUUUGUUCUACACAUGUCACAUUUCUUUCACCGGCCAGAGUUUUACAUAACAUACGAGUUAUAUUCUAGAAACUUAAAUAUACAAGUAGGUUUGUUUAUAUUUUACCCUCGAAAUCUGGCCAUGAAUGCUGCAAACAGAGUUUUGAACAAUAAACAUUACAUUCAUAUAUUAACAAAAUUUUCUGUUAUUUCUUAAUUAUGCAUGUGCAAAAAAUUACAGAUAUUUUAAAACAGUAUAUCAAUUUCGGCCACCAUCCACCACCAGACAACACAUAGAAUAACAGCAACAUUUUGCUUGAUUUUUUACACACGCUGUAUAAUUAAAUGCAAUUAUAAAAUAUUUACACAUUUUACAUAUUAUUAUAUCAAUUUUGCAGGAUAAAUAUUUUCUUUGGUUUGCAUACUUAUAUAUCUUGUCGAUACCAUAACAUAAUAACCCUGUAAGGGCCAGUCAAAAUUUGGGUUUCGAAAUAGGUCCUAUCAUUUUAUAUUCUAACUCAUUGAAUUUGAAUAGUUUUUUUUACAAUGUUCCUAUUGUGCUUUUACGAAAUUCAUGUGUACAUGCAUCUAUAUAAUACCAAACUUGUGUUAUCAUAAUUGCAUUGAGAUAGUAUAAGAAAUAUUUGUAAUUGUGUGUUUGAAUAAAAAUGAAUGAAAAAGGUUUAAAUCUUUAAUUAUUACCGUUAUCAAUCACAAUUAUUAAACGUCUGUCCGUUAUAUGUAUAUUUAUUGCACACUAUAGGUUAAUUUUCAAGAGGCCGAUAAGGAAACCCGUUUGCAAGAGAAACGUAUGUGUCUGCUAUCCGUACAAACAGAUAAACGAAGAUGUGAAUAUUUUAUGCUACAUCACAGAAAGAUACAGAGUAAAAUCAACAAAGAGACAAAUUAACAUAACUGAAUAUGAAAACAUGCCACAAUUCUUUCAUGUAGUAAAUGCAAGUAUAUAUGUCUAAUACUUGAAUUUUGAAAACGAUAAAAUAAUACCAAUCGAUCACGCCAAUAUUAAAUACACUAAUUGUUUCACAUGGAAUACGAUAGUACAAUGAUCUUCUAUAGGUACUCAUCAAUUAAUGAUGUAAUUUACGUUAAGAGCUUUGUUGAGAAUUCAAUUAGUCCUACGCAUAAACUUUCCCCGAAAAAUUUCCUAUCUCUGGUCAGUGAUGAGCAUUUAAUUAUAAUUACACGGCUUGUCACUGUAUUACUGAUAGCAGCACCCUUGAAUGUUUUAUGAUCCUAUCAUGUUUCAAGAAUGUAUACUUUAAGGUAGAAGACGUAUAGGGAACAUUUUAGAUGUAACGAAAAAAAUAAAUUUAACUUUUUAGUGUAAAGAGAUCUAUACAUUUGUUAAUAAUAGUUAAAGACAAAUAAAAAUUGGAUUACAUUAUAAAAGGUUUUUAAUCACUUACAACUCACAAUGAAAAUAAUUGUAUAAAUUACGUUCAUAUAAAAGGCAUAUCAUACCUCAGUAAUUUACAUCAUUUUUCUUAUUUUUUUAGAAGUAGCAAAGAAUGUUUAGUAAUAAUAAUACUUGAUUCAAAGCAUAAUUGAAGCUUAUCAUUCGAUCUUGUAGGAAAAGAAAUGAAUGAGAUUUUUUUAAUGUACCAAAAUGAUACAAGCAAAAAGUACAUAAAGUUUUUAAAGUAAAAUUCUAAGUUUAAAGAGGAAAUAUUUCACGAAAUAAGGAUGCUAGAGUUAUAAACCUUGUCAUUCAUGAAGUUAGUAAUGAUAAAGGACAAUUGUCUUAAGUCUAGAGUUGAUGUCAUUCAUAAUAACAAAGUAAUUUUUGGAAAUAUUUGAAUUUUAAAUAAAUCCCUAAUUCAAAAAUGAAAUGGAGAUAAUUCUAGAAAUACAGGACUUGAGUUAUAAUUCUAAUCGCACCUGAUAUAGGUGUUGAAACAUUUUUAUGCCGCGGAAAAGAGCAUAUCGAAAUUGCUAUGUCCCUCUGUUUGUCUGGAUGUCCGUCUGUCUGUGCGUCCCCACUUUAUUCAUAACUUUGUCAUGCAUUGAAUGAUAUUAAAUAACUAGGCAUUAAUGUCUACCACCGCAAGACGAUGUGUCGCGUCCAAGAAUUACGUCCCUACCUCAGAGGUCAAGGUCACAUUAACAUUUUGAAGUUUCACUUUAUCAUAAUUAGAGUUUAUAGUUACACGCAUUCGUGUCCGGACUGUCGUGCAUCAAAGGAUUACAAAAUAACUAGGCAUAAAUACUUUCCACAUCAAGAUGACAUGUCACGACUAAGACCCCUAUCCCUACCUUCAAGGUCAAGGUCAUAUUUAUAGUUUGAAGGUAUUCAUUCAUUCGAGAAGAGUUUGAAGAUACAAAUUCAUGUCCGGACUGUAACUUUGACCUUCUUCAAAGGUCAGGUCACACUUAUAUUUGGAAGGUUCACGCUAUCACAAUUAGAGAUUAUAGGUACAAUACUACAAAGAAAUAUUAAGAAAUUUGUUACUUUCACCCUAUUUUCUUUGCAUACGACCAGUCCUGCAUGCUUAAGAAACUUUUUCGGGGGCAUUCGUCACUUAUGUGACAGCUCUUGUUGAAGUCCGAAUUUAAUAAGGAAAAUUCAACGUAUAAAGGGAUGAUGAUUCUGAAAAUAUUGAUGCUAGAGUUAUAAAGCUUGUCAUGUUAUUGUUUAAAGUUAUAAAAUAUCAAUUUUUAUUCAAAACAAAUUUGAAUGGGGUAAAUAAUCCUGGAAAUAUUCAUGCUACAGUAAUGAAUCUUGUCACACAUGAUAAGGAAAUACAUUUGAAGUUAAAGGUUGAUACCUUAAGAAAUAAAAAAGAAUGUAAAAAGUAACAUUUUUUUUGAGAGGAAAAAAAUUCAUGGGGAGAUAAUUCUGGAAAAAUUGGUGUUAGAGUUGAAAAAAAAAACAUUACCACUAUGACGUAGUUGAUGAUAAGGAACACAUGUUUGAAGUUUAAACUUUAAUAUGAAAUGAAGAUGUUAGAGUAAAAUAAAACAUUAUUUAAAUUCAAGGGGAUAUAGUUCUGGAAAUACUGGUUUUAGAGUUUUGCACCUUAUCAAAUGAUGUGGAUGGUGAUAAGGAAUAUAUAUUUGAAAUCGAUACCUUAAGAAAUAAAGAAGUUAUAGGCGCAUAAACAUUAAUUUAAAGUAUGGACGCUAACUUCGACUUGUAAACUAAGGGCCACAGACCCAGUUACAAAAGAAAGGAGAAAAAAACAUUGAUAAUUUUAGUGAGCGUAUCUUCAACAGAAAUUUGAUCCUUCAAAGUUGGGGCCGUUAGAUACAGAGGGGCAAUAAAUAAUGACAAAACUCUCAACUCACUGGACGUGUUAAUGGGAGACAUACCGUUAAUAGUGAUUUAUUAGCUGAUAAGCCCUUACUGAGAUUCAGCAGGCUGGAAUGGUUUAUGCGUAGGACUGUGUAGAAGAAGAGAGAUUCAGCGUGAAGAGUUAAUAUGUGUUAUGUAAAAUUUAUAGGGUCAGCGUGUACAAGAAUAAUGUUAUAGAACACUGAAUUACUGAUUCGAACUAAUAAGCUAAACAUAACAAACAAUGAAACAUGGCUAUCAGAAGUACAUGAUGGUGAUUGAUAAGUGCUUGGGAAAUAGUUAAUUAAUCAGGUACAUAUACUCACCAUUUUUAUGUUUACAUUCAUCGUACUAUUUUCAUGUUUGUAUAUGUUUUAAGCAUCACAUAAUUUUCACCGUCAUUGCAUAAGAGUUAUUUGGCGGUUAUUAACUAUUCUUUAAACUGAGGCGCCUCUCUUUUAUUGUCAUGUACUUGUGUGCCAUGCAUUUUAAUUAAUAAACAUAACAUCUAAAGUGUGAAUGUAAUUUAAAUUGUUGUAACUUUAACGUUUUAACAAUUUUAUAUUUAUAGUAACUUACACACAAAUUCUUAUAAUUUGAAACAAGCAUAAUAAAUUUACGCACGUUAUAAGACUUUAUAAAAUAUUAAUAAGUUUUUUGUCAAUAUUUGUUUUUCUUGCAUAGAAUGAUCAUUUAAUGUUGUUUUGACUCGUUCAAAUUUGUUUAUGAAUAAACAGUAACAUACCAAAGUUUCAAGCUAAUAUGAAAAACAAUAUUAAAGUUAUAUAUUGUUCAUUAAAUUACAAACAUAAAAUUACAUAUACUUGAAAACCCCGUUAUGCUUAAAGUGUAAGUCAAUGUAUUCAUACGACUCAUAUUACAUACAAAUUAGAGAGUUUCAGAUUGAGUAUGCGAUACAUGCAUAUUGUGUGUGUCCUAAAGCGAGUAAUAACUUUCCUAUAAAAUACACACAAUCAUGUGUUUCAUUUUGUAUCAGGCAAUUGAUCUUUUAAAACUUUUGAAUAAAUCUAUGACUUUGAUAUUUUAAGGAACAAAUUUGAUGUGGAAAAAAUGCAAAUGAAAUUGUUUAUUUUAUUUUACAGAUUAGAGAAGAAAGGAAAAAAGUGAUUUGAUAUUCAACAAAUCAAUAAAACGUAUACUGGAUAUUAAUAUAAAACGGCAUUAUAUAUUAUAUGAAUUAGUUACCAUAAAAUAUGGAUAAAAAAGGGCUGUUUAGACAAGUGAUGCAUCGGAACAAAUGCAAACAUUUUGAAUGCGCGAUGAAAACAUCAGACAUAAACCUUUAAUAUGGAAGUUGCUGAAGUGAUUUAUCAUGUUUCAACUAUCGUUUUAUUUUUGUUUUAUUUUUUUUUCUUUACAUAAAGUAAAUUAUUUGAUUCCGCAAAAAUAUAUUCAGAAAAAUGUAUAAAUAUUAUGUCUUGCAUUGUCAGUGCUUUAAGUUUUGUGUAAUAUAAUAUUACACAUAUCUGGUUUUUUAUUAUAUUUGAAAUUUACAAUUUAAAGCACAUCGCUGUAAGUUUCAUUUCUCAAAACCUUUUUUAAGUUUUAAGUUUGGUAUCCUGUUACAGUUUCUUUAAAAUGGUAUUAUCUCAUUUUCUAUAUAGAAUAAUUUGCGAUUGAUAUAAUUUUUGUAAAUAAGUAUUUCGUGUAGAAGUUAAAAUACUGCAUAAUUUACAUUUUGCUACCUUUACGACAUAUUACUGAACAUUCAGCGAUACUUUCCUCAUCUCUUAAACAUCUUACAUUCACUUAAUCUUUGAUUAAACCAAUAGUGAAUACAUGUUUGACAUUUCUAAACAUUUUAAUUAUUAUGGAUUUCUGCGCCAGAUUGUGCCUUUAACCUUUUUAACAUUUUGAUACCAGCUUGUAUCAUCCAAAAGCUUUCUUUGAUACACAUAUAUUUCUUAUUAUGUUAAUUAUAUGUAAAUUAAUCUUUAUUUUUAUGUCUGAUUUUCAAUAAUCAGUUAGAGAUGAGAUCGAAUUUCACAACAAUAAUGUAAGUUAUUUGUAUUAUAUUCAAUGAAUGUUCAGUCUUAAUUUUCGUUUGUUGCUGUAACAAUUCAUGGAAUCUUAUGAUAUAAGAUAUAUAAAAAGAUAUAAGCCCUUUAUAUGCAGAAAUGUUAUUGCAAGUUAAAAGGUUUUCUUUGUUUUUUUUAAGAAGCAACAACAACAACAAUAAAAUAGAAAAAAACGACAGGGGAAAAAACGAUCCAAAAGAAACAUAUCAUUGAAAAUACUUCUGAAUAUAAAUAGUAUUAUAUUUGUUAUAACAAAGCAACCUCUUUACCAUUGCAAAACAUUUUUGAGAUACUUUUGUUUUUUGAUAAAAAAAUAUUUUCAUUUUCAGUUAUGUAUUCAUAUUGUCUUUUUUGCUUUUUUUUAUUUAAGUUAAACUGAGCUAAUAAUAGUUAUCAUAAGGUAGGCAAGGUAAAUUAUAAUAUACUAUUUUUUAAAACACAUUAUUUGUUUUAAUGAAAUUCCUAAAUAUGUUGUAGAACUUCUCACAAAUUGUGUAACUAAUCAACACAAUGUUCAACUUGUGUUAUUUCCGCGUUAUGCGGUUGCACUGUUAGUGCUUCAGUGUAUUUAUUGACUACUAGCGAAAUGAUAAAUGUGGAAUCGACUGUCUGUAAAAUGGACAUUAUUUUACAACUAGAGUUUGUACGAUAGCUGAUAAGAUUUACUACUUCUUUGAGUAAAGAUAUUUUAGAACAUUGAAUUGGCACUUAUGGAACAUACAUGCAAAGCAGACAGCUAUGUGUUAGUUGUCCGCAUAAACUUGAAUAUUAUUUCAAAAGAAUUAACAGAUGAAGAUGUGCCAAUAUAAUACCAUAAAAAUAUAACUUUGGUUGAAUACGUUUUGUAUUCCCUCUGAACAUAAAAUUUAGCUAUUUACUCAGCAUACAAACAAUAGAUUUCCAUGACAGCAAUUAAUCACAUCAUUGCAUAUAUAAAUGAUAAUGAUAUACCGCAUUUGUAUUACAUUUUUACCAUUUUAUGUUUUUAUCACUUUUCAAUCAACUUAUGUUAAAUCAAUGAAUUAUAUAUAUAUUUAUUUAUUCAUUCAUAAAUUUAUUUAAUUAUUUA